rnacentral:rRNA from 1 species
UACGAAGGGGGCUAGCGUUGCUCGGAAUCACUGGGCGUAAAGCGCACGUAGGCGGAUUGUUAAGUCAGGGGUGAAAUCCUGGAGCUCAACUCCAGAGCUGCCUUUGAUACUGGCGAUCUCGAGUCCGGGAGAGGUGAGUGGAACUGCGAGUGUAGAGGUGAAAUUCGUAGAUAUUCGCAAGAACACCAGUGGCGAAGGCGGCUCACUGGCCCGGUACUGACGCUGAGGUGCGAAAGCGUGGGGAGCAAACAGG